GCUGCGCGCGGGCUGGGGACCGUGCACCGCUUUGCGCGCCAGACGAUGCAUCUUCUGGAACGGCAGCUGAGGCAAUGCGGGGUGUGAAGCGGCGGCGGGCAGAGGGGCUCGCAGGGGCGGGGAUCCGCGUGCCCCUCUCUGCCUCGGUGCGGAGCACGAUGUGCCCGGGCGGGGGCGAGGACGUCCGGGAGGGGCUGGGCUGCGCACGCUCGCGGGGCCGUCGCAGAUGGGCGGUUUGGAGGCGCUGCUGUCCCUGGGAAAUGGGAGCCUCCAUCCUGUUCUCUCUGCUGCUUGGCUGGGCUGGGCUGGGCAGGGCAGGAAAGCCAGGGUCCCCACCCCUCCUGGAGCAGAGCACUCCGCGCUGGCUGUUCCGGGGGCCCGGGAGGGCAGAGCUGUCAGAAGGUCUGUCUGGCAUCAUUAGGGGAGCUGUCUGUCUCUCUAUCCCUGGCUGGCGUGGCCCGGCAGGAGGCGAGGCUGAUAUUUUCAGGAGACCUGGUGAUUUGACCUGACACCUGUCAGUCAGGUAAGCGCUGGCCUCCUGCCUGCAUCCCCCUGGGGAAGAGCCGGUUCUGCUCCCUGACCCGGAACGGGUCCCUCAGUGCUGAGGAUGGCAGUUAAUGAGCCCGCCGAGGGGCUGCCCACCGGGUGCACAGGCAGGAGCAGUGGGCAUAUCCCCUACUUGCCAGGCCCUGCAGAGGGGCUGCCUUCUCCCCCAAUGCCUUCUGCCCCCUCCUAGUGUCUCCAACAUUGACCCUGGAAAUCACUUUCUUGCUUCUCUUAUCAGGAUAGUCCUACAUGUCUGGAACUUUCUGGGAUGUUCUCUAUGCCUUGGAAGUGUUUAUUUAUUACUUUAAAAUCACCUCUAGGGUAUUUAUCCUUAAAGAUAAAGCCAGUACCUAGAACCAGGUGUCCUUCCCGCAGGGCUUUAGGCCCUACCUGACUUGGGUUCUCAGUCAACCCUUUCCUUCCCUGUGUAACGUGGGUUUUGGCUUUUGCGGAAGUAAUCUGUUAUGGUCUAAAUUGUGUCCUCCCCAAAUCCAUAUAUUAAAUCCCUAAGCCCCUGGCUGGGCGUGGUGGCGAGCACCUGUAAUCUCAGCACUUUGGGAGGCCGAGUUGGGGGCGAUCACCUGAGGUCAGAAUUUCGAGACCAGCCUGGCCAACAUGGUGAAACCCCGUCUCUACUGAAAAUACAAAAAUCAGCGGGGAGUGGUGGCGACCGCCUGUAAUCCCAGCUACUCCAGAAGCUGAGGCUGGAGAAUCACUUGAACCCGGGAAGCAGAGGUUGCGGUGAGCUGAGAUAGCGCCAUUGCAUUCCAACCUGGGGGACAACAGCGAAACUCUGUCUCAAAAAAAUAAAUAAAUAAAAUAAAAAUAAAAUAAAUCCCGAAGCCCCAGUAUCUCAGGAUAUGAUCGUAUUUGGAGAUACAGCCUUCUAUGACCUUCUAUAACCUCAGUCCCCAACCUUUUUGGCACCAGGGACUGGUUUCGUGGAAGGCAAUUUUUCCACGGACCCGGGUGGGGUGGGGGGUGGUUUCGAGGUGAUGCAAGCACGUUACAUUGAUCGUGCACUUUAUUUCUGUUGUUAUUACAUUGUAAUAUAUAAUGAAAUAAUUAUACAUUUCAUCAUAAUGUAGAAUCAGAGGGACCCUGAGCUUGUUUUCCUGCAACUAGAUGGUCCCAUCUGGGGGUGAUGGGAGACAGUGACAGAUCAUCAGGCCUUGGAUUCUCAUAAGAAGCACGCAACCUAGAUCCCUCACAUGUGCCGUUCACAACAGGUUUCAUGCUCUUGUGCACAUCCAAUGGUUCCUAAAGGGCCACAGACCGGCACUGGCCCUUGGCCCAGGGGUUGAGGACCCCUGUUCUAUAAGGUCAGGAGAGAGGCCUCAGAAGAAACCAACCCUGCCGAGACACCUUGAUCUCAGACUUCAGCCUCCAGAACUGCGCGGUGAUGCGUUCCUGUUGAAGGCACUCUGACCGCAGUGGCUUGCCGUGGCAGCCCUCGACAACAAAUACAGGCUCUGUUGAACCAAAUGAAUCCAAAAUGUAUGCCCAAAGAUAGCCGCCAGGUCUAUGAAAACACCUGCUCUGAUACGAGGGGACGUGGACGACAGAGUCUCUGGUAUGUCAUUAUCAGCAGUGUGAAAAUGCUGAUAAUGCAUUUUCCACCCUGUCUGGAUCUGGACAAGAGCCCACCACCCCGUUGGCAGUAGUCAGGCAGCUCUGCUCCUAAGAACCUGCAGCUUUUGGAAGAAAGGCACCCUGUGGUUUCAGAAGCCCAAGAGUCCCUGCAGCUCAGCACCCCCAGCCUGGUGCUUGGCAGAUGAUUGCCUCCUCACUUAGGAGAGGGAGCAGAAAACUGUGUAUUCUUCAGAACAUCAUGAUAACCUGGCAUUCAUGGGUCUAUGGAGAGAAUUCAGGGGGUCUGGGAGCUUGGAUGGGAUAAAUUUGCAUCUUUAUUUUCAGGAAAGUUUUACUGAAGUUUAGCAUUUUCUUUCAUUAUAAAUGGAACAGUACAACCCAAUAGUAUGCACAGUUACUUCUCCACAACGUUAAAGUGGCUGCAGAUGUCUCAAAAUAUUAUUUACAUUUAUCAUAACUUAGAAAUUUGGGUGGUAAUUAAACCAGCAACUAUUCUUUGUUUAAUGCAUUAAGAAAGAAGUAUGUAUACUAUCAUAUCUCAAUUAAAAAUAUUUUAAGAACUGGAUUUUAACUGUAUUGGUUUCCUUUGUAACUCUCUGUAUUUCAUUUUAGGCAUUUAAAAAUAUUAUUUUGAGAAGGGCUUCCGCAGGUGUCAGAGGUGUCCAUGGCAGAGCCAUGAUUAAGAUCCGCUGGUGUAGACUACAGCAAGUGUGUGCGUCUGAGGUUGGUAUGGAAGUUGUGUUUGUGUUCAAAUCCUAGUCUCCCAUCUCAUAGCUGCAGAAGGUGUGCCCUGAUCCAUCACUUUAUUAUUAUUAUUAUUAUUAUUUUUUCUUGGGAUGGAUUCUUGCUCUGUCACCCAGGCUGGAGUGCAGUGGCACAAUCUCAGCUCAUUGCAACCUCUGCCUUCUGGGUUCAAGCAAUUCUCCUCCCUCAGCCUCCCGACUAGCUGGGACUACAGGCACGAGCCACCAUGCCUGGCUAAUUUUUUUUUGUAUUUUUAGUAGAGAUGGGCUUUCACCAUGUUGGCCAGGCUGGUCUCAAACUCCUGACCACAAGUGAUCCACCUGCCUCAGCCUCCCAGAGUGCUGGGAUUACAGGCAUGAGCCACUGUGCCCGGCCUCAUCACUUUAAAAUAGGAAUAAUAGCCACCAUACGAGGGUAUUGGGAAUGAUUAAAAGUGUUAGUACUACAGGAAUAAUUCUAGGACCUAACGUCAUACGGCUGCAGGAGCACUGAAUGAGAUAGUCCAUGAGGUUAGGUCCUAGCAUUAUUCCUGUUUUACAGAUGGGGAAGUUGAGGUUUAUUUCAAGUAAGUGCCCAAGGUCACAUAGCUAGGAAGUGGUAGAACUAGGAUUCGAGCCCCAGCCGUUGGGCAGCAGAUCCUAUCUCAGAUCCUAUAUUGCCCUCCAAAAAGUCAAGCACCCCUGGGUCAGUGGAAGUUGCAAUCUGGGUCAUACAGAGUCUGGAGGCCAGUCUCCAAUUUCUAGGCUCUUAGAGCCCUCAUUUGACCUUGAGCUCUAACAAAGUGCUCACAAACAUGUGCCAGUGACUUCUCACAAUGAAGGACAGUUGUGUGGGUCUAUGGUGGGGUGAUGCGUUGCUUCUUACUGAAUGUGAAAUAAAGCUUAGGAACACUAGAUCUGUGUGCUUCAGGAGUGGUGGGGAUUGCCCUGGUUGAGUGACUGGAGCAUUAAGUGAGAUGGGAUCUUUGGUGUCAUCCUAUGAUGAUGGUGACAGUGGCAGUGAUGAUGACGACAAUCACUUUCUUCCUCCUCCUCCUCUUCCUCCUCUUCUUCUGCUGCUGCUCCUCCUCCUCCUUCUUCUCCUUCUUUUUUUUUUUUUUUUGAGAACAAGUCUCUCUCUGUCACCCAGGCCAGAGUGCAGUGGCACAAUGUCAGCUCACUGCAACCUCCACCUACCGGGUUCAAGCGAUUCUUCCGCCUCAGCCUCCUGAGUAGCUGGGACUACAGGCGUCCGCCACCACGCCCAGCUAAUCUUUGUAUUUUUAGUAGAGACGGGUUUCACCAUGUUGGCCAGGCUGGUCUCGAACUCCUGACCUCAGGUGAUCCACCCGCCUCAGCCUUCCAAAGUGCUGGGAUUACAGGUGUGAGCCACUGCGCCAGGCCGGCAAUCACUUUCAUGCAGCAUGCCCUUUGGGUGCCUACCGUGUGUCGGGUCCUGAUGCUGCCCUUGAGGAGCUGACAGUCGGGGAGAAAGGACCAGGAAUGUGCUGUCUUACCCCAUCACAAAACAAGAGAGAGAAUAAUGGGUGUCACAAGAGAGGUGCCAGCAGCAGGUGAUGGGAGGUUGUCACAAUGAUAAUGAGCUUUAGGUUCAGUGCAGACUUGGCUGGUGGGGCUGGCAAAACCACAGAGAUUCAGAGCAGCUGGGGAGAGGCAGUGUACAUUAAUCUGAACGAAUAUUAAUGUAAGAUCUUAAUAAAAUUACAUUUGUGUCUAUUUAUCUGGCUGUAUGAGUUUCCCUAAAUUUGGAUGGGCAUGUUUCAGAUGGUUUGGCUUAAGACAGAUGUCUUCCUUUUAUAUAAUUCCUUUGUGUCUGAGGUCAUACUCUGUGAGAUUUUGAUCUUCAAAAUUGGUCCAGACUUAUUUUAUGUCUCAGCAUAUGGACUCUCUUGGUGAGGACUUCACGUGCCUUUGUAAAGAACAUGUAUUCUGUAAUCACGGGGUGUAGUGGACCUUAAAUAUCAAUUAGGUCACAAUGGUUGUUAGAAUGUUCAAUGUCCUUACUGAUUUUUUGAUUUUUUUUGUUUACUGACUCUGUCAGUUGCUGAAAGAAAGGUAUUAAAAUCUCCAACUGUAAUUUUUGGAUUUGUCUAUUUCUCCUUUUAAUUCUGACAGGUUUUGCUUUAUUUUGAAAUUGUUAUGAGAUGCAUAUACAUUUAAGAUUGUUAUGAUUUCCCAAUAAACA